CCGUCAUGGUUGGGGUCGGAGCCAUUGCAGGUCCCAUUGGUGCUGGUGGUGAACUCAUCGAAUCAGGACUCAUGGCUGGAGUCAUCAUCAUCUCAGGUGGAGUAGCCAUUGGUGCUGGCAUCAUCAUCGGAGGAGGUGUCAUCAUCACUGGAGGUGGUGUCAUCAUCUCAGGUGGACUAGCUAUUGGUGCUGGCAUCAUCAUUGGAGGAGGUGUCAUCAUCAUUGGAGGUGGUGUCAUCAUCAUAGGAGGUGGAGUCACCAUUGGAGGUGGUGUCAUCAUCAUAGGUGGCAUGGUGGUGGAGGGUGACAUUGCCGGAGCUUGACCAGAGGAUAAGACAACGAACGUAAGUGAGAAGGUUAGCAUGAGCAUGGCAUGUGAAAAGG
rnacentral:lncRNA from 1 species